AGCAACUAAGUUUCAAAACAAAACCACAUUCAAAAAAAAAAAAUCCUCUUUAAAGUCCCUAAACUUAACCACUUUCAAGCAACUAAGUCUCAAAACAAAACCACAUUUAAAACAAAAAAAAUCUACUUUAAAGUUCCUACACUUGACCAUUUUCAAACAACUAAGUAUCAAAACAAAAUCGCAUUUAAAACACAAAAUUCCCUUCAACGUCCCUAA
rnacentral:lncRNA from 1 species